AGCAGCCGCGGUAAUACCAGCUCCAAUAGCGUAUAUUAAAGUUGUUGCAGUUAAAAAGCUCGUAGUUGAACCUCAGGCCUGGCUGGACGGUCCGCCCUCUGGGUGAGGACUGCCUGUGGUCGGGUCCUACCUUCUGGCGAAGCGGCAUGGCCUUAACCGGCCGUGGCGGGGAACCAGGACUUUUACUGUGAAAAAUUAGAGUGUUCAAAGCAGGCACGCGCUUGAAUACAUUAGCAUGGAAUAAUGGAAUAGGACAAUGGUUCUAUUUGUUGGUUUCUAGGACCGUUGUAAUGAUUAAUAGGGAUAGUUGGGGGCAUUAGUAUUCAAUUGUCGGAGGUGAAAUUCUUGGAUUUAUUGAAGACUAACUACUGCGAAAGCAUUUGCCAAGGAUGUUUUCAUUAAUCAAGAACGAAAGUUAGGGGAUCGAAGACGAUCAGGUACCGUCGUAGUCUUAACCAUAAACUAUGCCGACUAGGAAUCGGGCGAUGUUGACAAGAUGACGUGCUCGGCA
rnacentral:rRNA from 1 species